GAUCAGUGAUGAAAUUAGCCAAAUCUGAGUGUUUGUAGUCAUGACUACAAAACCCAUGAUUAUGCUAGAGA